AUGAUUGCGCCCAACAGUUCAGCAGAAGGCACUAGCUCAAAUCUGAAGCGCAAGCAUGUUAAAGCACCACAUAAGAAGAAACCAAAUGUCAAGGCGCGUCGAGCCAGCGUGUUAGAUGAUGAUGUGGCAGCGAGCAUUGUGAGUCUUGCUGAAACUGUGAAAUCUGCUGCCCCUAUGCAGCCAAUAGCAGUUACAGACCCCAAUGCCAAUCUUUGGAAACACAUUGAGUCGCUAACUAUCCCAGCAAAUGAGAAGAUUGAGUUAGCAGCCUAUCUUGCUAAGCCAGAACAAGAAUUUUUUUGUGUUUUCUUGAACUGUGCAAGCGUCCAGACUUGUAAUGCUUGGGUCCUUGAUUAUUUCGCGCACAAGUAU
rnacentral:rRNA from 1 species